ACGCUCGACACCUACGGAGGCAGCAGUGGGGAAUAUUGCACAAUGGGGGAAACCCUGAUGCAGCGACGCCGCGUGGAGGAAGAAGGUCUUCGGAUUGUAAACUCCUGUUGUUGGGGAAAAAGAGGAUGGUACCCAACAAGGAAGUGACGGCUAACUACGUGCCAACAGCCGCCGGUAAGUACUGAGCGGGCGUGGCGAAGGAC
rnacentral:rRNA from 1 species